rnacentral:rRNA from 1 species
GGGUUGUGAGGUUAAGCGACUAAGCGUACACGGUGGAUGCCCUGGCAGUCAGAGGCGAUGAAGGACGUGCUAAUCUGCGAUAAGCGUCGGUAAGGUGAUAUGAACCGUUAUAACCGGCGAUUUCCGAAUGGGGAAACCCAGUGUGAUUCGUCACACUAUCAUUAACUGAAUCCAUAGGUUAAUGAGGCGAACCGGGGGAACUGAAACAUCUAAGUACCCCGAGGAAAAGAAAUCAACCGAGAUUCCCCCAGUAGCGGCGAGCGAACGGGGAGCAGCCCAGAGCCUGAAUCAGUGUGUGUGUUAGUGGAAGCGUCUGGAAAGGCGUGCGAUACAGGGUGACAGCCCCGUACACAAAAAUGCACAUACUGUGAGCUCGAUGAGUAGGGCGGGACACGUGGUAUCCUGUCUGAAUAUGGGGGGACCAUCCUCCAAGGCUAAAUACUCCUGACUGACCGAUAGUGAACCAGUACCGUGAGGGAAAGGCGAAAAGAACCCCGGCGAGGGGAGUGAAAAAGAACCUGAAACCGUGUACGUACAAGCAGUGGGAGCACGCUUAGGCGUGUGACUGCGUACCUUUUGUAUAAUGGGUCAGCGACUUAUAUUCUGUAGCAAGGUUAACCGAAUAGGGGAGCCGAAGGGAAACCGAGUCUUAACUGGGCGUUAAGUUGCAGGGUAUAGACCCGAAACCCGGUGAUCUAGCCAUGGGCAGGUUGAAGGUUGGGUAACACUAACUGGAGGACCGAACCGACUAAUGUUGAAAAAUUAGCGGAUGACUUGUGGCUGGGGGUGAAAGGCCAAUCAAACCGGGAGAUAGCUGGUUCUCCCCGAAAGCUAUUUAGGUAGCGCCUCGUGAAUUCAUCUCCGGGGGUAGAGCACUGUUUCGGCAAGGGGGUCAUCCCGACUUACCAACCCGAUGCAAACUGCGAAUACCGGAGAAUGUUAUCACGGGAGACACACGGCGGGUGCUAACGUCCGUCGUGAAGAGGGAAACAACCCAGACCGCCAGCUAAGGUCCCAAAGUCAUGGUUAAGUGGGAAACGAUGUGGGAAGGCCCAGACAGCCAGGAUGUUGGCUUAGAAGCAGCCAUCAUUUAAAGAAAGCGUAAUAGCUCACUGGUCGAGUCGGCCUGCGCGGAAGAUGUAACGGGGCUAAACCAUG